CCUACGGGAGGCAGCAGUGAGGAAUAUUGGUCAAUGGGCGAGAGCCUGAACCAGCCAAGUAGCGUGAAGGAUGACUGCCCUACGGGUUGUAAACUUCUUUUAUAAAGGGAUAAAGUGAGGCACGUGUGCCUUUUUGUAUGUACGUUAUGAAUAAGGAUCGGCUAACUCCGUGCCAGCAGCCGCGGUAAUACGGAGGAUCCGAGCGUUAUCCGGAUUUAUUGGGUUUAAAGGGAGCGUAGGUGGGUUGUUAAGUCAGUGGUGAAAGUUUGAGGCUCAACCGUAAAAUUGCAGUUGAUACUGGCAGUCUAGAGUACAGUUGAGGUAGGCGGAAUGCGUGGUGUAGCGGUGAAAUGCUUAGAUAUCACGAAGAACUCCGAUUGCGAAGGCAGCUUACUAAACUGCAACUGACAUUGAUGCUCGAAAGUGUGGGUAUCAAACAGGAUUAGAUACCCGUGUAGUC
rnacentral:rRNA from 1 species